UUAAUUGGAUGAGCUUGGUAUGGAACCUACCAAGUGAGAACUUUCAAAUUCAGAGAAACCCUGGAAUUAAAAAUGGGCAAUCCUGAGCCAAAUCCUGUUUUAUGAAAAUAAACAAGGGUUUCAUAAACCGAAAAUAAAAAAGGAUAGGUGCAGAGACUCAAUGGAAGCUGUUCUAACAAAUGGAGUUGGCUGCAUUGUGUUAGUAAAGGAAUCCUUCCAUCGAAACUUCAGAAAGGAUGAAGGAUAAACCUAUAUACAUACGUAUAGUACUGAAAUACUAUCUCAAAAUGAUUAAUGACGACCCAAAUCUUUCUUUUGUUAUAUUUAUAUGAAAAAUGAAAGACUUGUUGUGAAUCGAUUAAAAAUUGAAAAAAGAAUCGAAUAUUCAUUGAUCAAACCAUUCACUCCACCGUAGUCUGAUAGAUCUUUUUAAUAAUUGAUUAAUCGGACGAGAAUAAAGAUAGAGUCCCAUUAUACAUGUUAAUAUCGACAACAAUGAAAUUUAUAGUAAGAGGAAAAUCCGUCGACUUUAGAAAUCGUGAGGGUUCAAGUCCCUCUAUCCCCA
rnacentral:ncRNA from 1 species